rnacentral:misc_RNA from 1 species
AUGGCCUCGUGUGAAUCAAUGUGCCCAGUCGCUGAAAUAAAUUUUCGAAGCCGGAAUCAUCUGAUAGAUCAAUUAGAAGCUACUGCAUCGACUAGUUCAGGACCCCGGUCAAAAUACGUUGCAGAUCCGACGAAAAUGGUCAAAGAGUACUCACGAUCAGCUGCUGACACCCAUAAAUACAACAAACCGGAACUAUUAAGGCCUUUUCCCGUUCUACAACACACAAUAGACUAUCUUCUGGAUUUGUACAGUCCGUUUAAAGGCGGUCAGCGAUCACUUCCAAACAAUUCGCAUCGAUUUUUUCGUUUGUUUCGGAUCGUCUACGAUCAAUUCGACAGGAUAUGAUUAUGCAAAACUUGCGUGGAGAUUUCACUGUAAUUCUUAUUGAGAAAAUGCUUCCAUUCUACAUAGAAACUGACGGAGCUUGCAAGAUGGCAAAAUGUCAGAGUUAUGACCCGAAAUUGCACGAUUUUCAGUUGGAAGAGUGCUUUGGAAGGUGGUUUGAAGAAGUCUCGAAUUCCACUGAUAUUAUCCCGAAUCCCUUGAUAUCGGCCUGCUUCUUCUUCAGACAAUUACAUCGAAAAUCAUCAAUUCUUCAUGAUCUCUACCUAUUUCGUCGGAAACUACCACACGAAUCAUUUAAUCUCAUUCAAAGCAUAAUAUCAUCAUUUUAUUCCUCAAAUUAUCGCCGAUUUUUCGAUAUUUUCCAACAACUCGAUCCACUUCUCAAGCACUCACUCUCGGAUUGUGUCUCAAUUCUUCGUCAAUCAGCGAUGAAAAAUAUAUCCGUGGCAUUCAAGACUCCUGUCGCUAGGCUUCCAUCUCAAUUGCUAUCCGAUUGGCUUGGAUUUCCAGCGAAUCUCGAAUUUUUCGACGAUUUUCUUCGUUUGUACAGUGUGAUUCCUGAUGAGCAAGGAAAUAUUCUGAUUUCUGCUCUACGACCACCCGUGGAAAUUUCGUAUCAAGAUUUUUCUUCGAGACAAUAUGAAUAA